AGUUUUAUAUUCUAAUAUAAAGAAAUUAAGUUGCAAACUUAAAAAAAUAAAUAAUUUAUUAAGACUU
rnacentral:tRNA from 1 species